UGGCAUGUAGCUCAGUGGUAGAGCACUUGCCUGGAUGCACGCGGACCUGGGUUCAACCCUAGCAUGCAUA
rnacentral:tRNA from 1 species